rnacentral:rRNA from 1 species
UGCCUACGGGACGCAGCAGUGGGGAAUAUUGCACAAUGGGGGAAACCCUGAUGCAGCAACGCCGCGUGAGUGAAGAAGGUUUUCGGAUUGUAAAGCUCUGUUAGCAGGGAAGAGGAAGGACGGUACCUGCAGAGGAAGCCACGGCUAACUACGUGCCAGCAGCCGCGGUAAUACGUAGGUGGCAAGCGUUGUCCGGAUUUAUUGGGUUUAAAGGGUGCGCAGGCGGAAUGUCAAGUCAGCGGUAAAAUUUCGGGGCUCAACCCUGUCGUGCCGUUGAAACUGGCGUUCUUGAGUGAGCGAGAAGU